rnacentral:misc_RNA from 1 species
ACGGGAAACGGCACCAUGAUUGACCGUACCGUGACCUUUGCAGGUUCUCUGACACGUGACCUACGGACCUACCUGAACACGCGGUUCCAGAAGGGCUCUGUGGACCAUGAGCUGCAGAACACCAUCAGGGACAAUCUGUAUCUUCGCACCGUGCCUGUCACUACGCGGGCCCCGAGGCCAAACGAGGUUCCCGGCGUGGACUACACGUUCCUCACGCUAGCCGAGUUCAAGGACUUGGAGCGGUCCGGAAAUCUACUGGAGAGUGGUGUUUACGAAGGUAACCACUAUGGCACCCCGAAGCCGGCGACCGAGCCGAGCGCGGCGCGCCAGGCUGUGAUCGGGGACGUGCUGCUGCCGGGCCGGCACCCGAACAGCGAGGGCAAGCGGCGCCGGAACCGCUCCAACGUCGAGGCCAUGGCCGCCAAGAACACGGAGCCCGAGCCGCGCCCGCCGGGCCAGCAGGCGCCCGAGUACCCGUCGGUGCCCCAGCGUCCGGACGGUCCGAGCAUGAACGGCUCCGGCCACCAACCGGCCUGGAACGGCGGCGGCCCGGGCGCCGGGCUCGGCCCACUGCCCGACAACUGGGAGGAGGCCUUCACAGAGUACGGAGAGCCCUACUUCAUCGACCACAGCACGGGCACGUCCCACUGGCUGGACCCGCGGCUGGCGCUCGUGCAGAAGAAGUCGCUCGAGGACUGCGACCUGAACGAGCUGCCCUACGGCUGGGAGCGCAUCGACGAUGCCACCUACGGCACCUACUACAUCGACCACGUCAACCGGCGCACCCAGUACGAGAACCCCGUGCACGAGGCCAAGCGACUGCAGGAGCAAGACGGCCGUCCGUUCUUCACGCGCAGCCCGGACGAGCUGCGGGGCCUCAUCAUCCAGACGACGCUGCACAAGUCGUCGCGUGGACUCGGCUUCACCAUCGUCGGCGGCGACGACGGUGACGAGGAGUUCCUCCAGAUCAAAUCCGUCGUGCCCAACGGCCCGGCCUGGCUGGACGGCAAGCUCAAUACCGGUGACGUGCUGGUGUACGUCAACGGCCAGUGCGUGCUGGGCUACACGCACCAGGACAUGGUGCACAUGUUCCAGACGAUCGGCGCCGGCGAGCUGGUGCAGCUGGAGGUGUGCCGCGGCUACCCGCUGCCCUUCGACCCGGACGACCCCAACACGGAGAUCGUCACCACCAUGGCCGUCUCGGCCGCCGACACCCAGCCGACGGACGCGUACCCGACCGGCGCCGGCGAGCGGCCGCGCUCGCCGCCCAACUCGGACGAGAGCAUCAACACGUCCAAGUCGAUGCCGGACCUGAGCGGGGCGGAGCGUCCGCCGGACGUACAGAGGCCCGGCUCGGCCGACCUGCUGUCGACAGAGAACGUGCCGCCGACGGCGCCGAAGCCGCGCUUCCUGACGGUGCCCAUCGUCAAGGGCGACUCGGGGUUCGGCUUCACCAUCGCCGACUCGGCCUACGGCCAGAAGGUGAAGAAGAUCCUGGACCGCAGCCGCUGCACCGAGCUGCAGGAGGGCGACAUCCUGGUGGAGAUCAACAACGUGCACGUCAAGGCCAUGCCGCACGCUGACGUGGUCCAGGUGCUGAAGGACUGCCCGGUGGAGCGGGAGGCGACCGUGACAGUGCAGCGGGGCGGCUCGCACUCGCCCACCAAGCCCAAGACCAAGCGCAAGGAGGAGACGGCACGCCGGCCGCCGCUCUCCGGCCAGUACCGCAGCAAGACGCCCACCGCCGAGCUGUACAGCACCCAGCCCAAGGAGGUGAUGCCCAGCCGGCCCAAGACGCCGCUGGUCGACACGCGCCGCGCCAAGACGCCUUCGUACGGCCAGCUGCCGGGCCCGCCGCCGGCCGGCGCCGACGCGCGGCUGGCGCUGGACGGCCGCGCCGGCCCGGCCGGCCCCGAGCUGCGCUACACCGCCGAGCCGGACGGCCGUGCGUUCAGCUAUGACCGGCCGAACGGGCCGGCGCGGCCCGAGCUGGCGGCGCAGUUCGGCCGGCUCGGGCUGCACGCCAGCUUCGACGAACGUGACGCGGAGCCGCGCGGCUACGGCGCGGCACCGCCCGGCUACGGCGGGGCACCGCCCGGCUACGGCGCCGCCCCGCCCGGCUACCACGCCGCCCCGCCCGGCUACGGCGCCGCGCCGCCCGGCCGGCCAUACGGCGGCGCGCCGUUCGCGCCCGAGGGCUACUACAGCGAGCAGGGGGCCGGCCGGGCCGCCGACGCGUCGUUCGAGCAGUACGCGGCCGAGGGCGUGCCGUACGGCCAGUACCGGCCGGCCGAGCCGGCGCCCGGCCGGCGCAAGCAGAGCACCAGCUUCGAGCACGAGCAGCCGGCGCCGGCGGCGGUCACGCGCGCCGCCCGCCCGGCCGGCACGCACCAGUACCUGGAGAUGGCCGUCGCGCUGAUGCGGCACCAGUCCGGCUUCGGCUUCCGCAUCGUCGGCGGCACCGAGGAGGGCUCUCAGGUGUCGAUCGGGCACAUCGUGCCGGGCGGCGCGGCGGACGUGGACGGUCGGCUGCAGUCCGGCGACGAGAUCAUCUACGUGGACGGCCAGCUGGUGAUCGGCUCGUCGCACCACCACGCCGUCCAGCUGAUGAGCCAGGCGUCCAGCAACGGCCGCGUCCAGCUGGGCAUCCGACGGCGGCUGGCGCGGCACGACGCCCUCAACCGCAGCCAGGAGCAGCCGCCCUACGAAGUGACGGUGACGCGGCGCGAGGGCGAGGGCUUCGGCUUCGUCAUCAUCUCGUCGGUGAGCCGGUCGGGCUCGACGAUCGGACGCCUGAUCGACGGCAGUCCGGCGCAGCGCUGCGGCCAGCUGCACGUCGGCGACCGUAUCCUGGCGGUGAACGGGGUCGACAUCGGCGGCCUGCAUCACGGUCAGAUCGUGACGCUGAUCAAGGAGAGCGGCUACCGCUGCGUGCUCACCGUCGGGCCGCCGCUCGACGACUCGUCCAGCACCGCCUCCACGUCGCAGAAGGGUGACGUGGCGCAGGGUCCGGGCCACGUGACCUCGUCGCUGGGCCGUGACGUGACGCCUGACCGUGACCUGUCCUCCCGGGACGUGACGUUUGACGCAGACGAGAGUCUCCAGUAUCCACACAGGCGAGACGGCGACCCGACCUGGACCGGGGACAGACGCGUGACCUACCCCUGGCCCGCCGAGGGCGAGGACUAUCCGAUGGAGGGCGGCGGGCGGCGGCGGCGGCGGCGGCGAGGACGAGUUCCACGCGAUCGAGCUGAGCCGCGGCUAUCGCGGCUUCGGCUUCUCGAUCCGCGGCGGCCGCGAGUUCCACAACAUGCCGCUGUUCGUGCUGCGCAUCGCCGAGGCGGGCCCGGCCGCGCAGGACGGCCGCCUCAGGGUGGGCGAUCAGAUAAUCGAGAUUAACCAGGUGAACACGAAGAACAUGACUCACGGCGAGGCGAUCGAGCUGAUCAAGCAGGGCGGUGCCGUGGUGCGCCUGCUCAUCAGACGCGGCGGCCGGAUACCACAGGUGAUCAUGGAGCAGGCGGCGGCGGCGCCGCUGACGCCCACCUCGCUGGGGCCGGCCGGCCGCUCCUCCUCGUCGCUCUCGCAGCCGUACCCGCCGUCGUUCUUCCCGCCGUCGCCGCAGCUGUACC